GUCAGUCGGUGGGCAGGAACCGUACCAUCAUCAAAUAUCACAAUCCCAAAUUCGCGCUUAUAUCUCACCAAAUACACAACACACAAACACACAUACACACACACUCACACACGACACACAUCACACCAACACAAAAUAAGUAUCCAGUGCAUCACAUCCUCGAUCGUAUAUGUAAUAAUAUAUAAUAGAAUACAUAAGACAGAGAGAGAAAAAAAGAGACAGAGAUCGCAAAACGAAAAUACACAAAACAGAGCUUACACACUCAUAUGCGCACAAAUACGAUCGGACCGCGAAGAUAAGUGCAUUUUGGGGUGAAUUAUAAGAAAAGAACGAAGUUUUUUUAUGCAAAGUUUUGCUCAAAACGUGGACAUAUUGACGCAAGGACUAAAAUACGGUUUAACAGGACUCAUGAACCUCGCAAAUCCGGCUGCCGAUCCUCAGAGUGGUGUUUUCUAUGUUAACUUCAAUCAGGACUGCACAUCCUUGGCUGUGGGCUCUAAGACUGGCUACAAACUCUUCUCUCUCAACUCGGUUAACCACCUAGAAAAGAUCUUCGAAAAUGACACGGAAGACAUAUGUAUUGUGGAAAGGUUGUUCAGCAGCAGCCUUGUGGCGGUCGUCAACGUAUCAUCACCCCGUAAGCUCAAAGUGUGUCAUUUCCGAAAGGGCACCGAGAUAUGCAAUUACAGUUACUCGAAUACGAUAUUGGCUGUGAAGCUCAACAGAUCGAGAUUGGUUGUAUGCCUUGAAGAAUCUCUGUAUAUCCACAAUAUACGGGACAUGAAGGUGUUGCACACGAUACGGGACACGCCGCCGAACGUAUCCGGUCUUUGCAUAUUAUCGGCUCACAAUGCCUCUUACGUCGCAUAUCCAGGCUCAAACACCAUUGGAGAGGUGCAAAUAUUUGAUGCCAUCAAUUUCCAAGCUAAAACCAUGAUACCUGCGCAUGACAGUCCGUUGGCAGCCCUCGCUUUUAACCUGGAGGGUACCAAAGUCGCGACAGCUUCGGAAAAAGGCACCGUCAUAAGAGUUUUUCAGAUACACGAUGGAACGAAACUUUUCGAGUUUCGUCGAGGCGUCAAAAGAUACGUUUCGAUAAGCAGUCUUGCAUUUUGUAUGGACUCCAUGUUCCUAUGUUGCUCGAGCAAUACGGAAACUGUUCACAUCUUCAAACUCGAGGAACCCAAGGAAGCCCCGAAACAAGCGCCGGAGGAACCACAGAGCUGGAUGGGUUUUCUGUCAAAAGCUGUUUCAGCCUCCGCGAAUUACUUGCCAUCACAAGUCACUGACGUAUUCUAUCAGGGGCGAGCUUUUGCGAGCGUUCAUUUGCCGUUUCAAGGAUUGAAGAACGUUUGUGCCAUAACUGAAAUUCAAAAAGUUCUGAGGCUGCUGGUGGCCAGUGCGGACGGAUAUCUCUACGUCUACAAUUUAGAUAUGACCGAAGGUGGCGAUUGCACACUGCUGAAACAACACAGAUUAGACGGUAAGCAAGACGAGGUGGAUUGUGCCGGCGUGUCGAGCGCAGGUACAGGAUCCGGCGAGCCCGGUGCCUCGGUCACACCCGCCGCUCCGAUAGUACAAAACCCAGGUGUAAGACCUCAAGAAAAAUGUGAUGUCGACGACGAUCGGUUGAGAAACGAAUAUUUGUGAAAUCGAGUUCCCGACGACCGGAUUUCGAACCUGAAUCAGUUUCGAUCAGACUUUCUUCUUAUGAAUGAUUUUGAUGAUUGAAUCUGACGAAUUCCUGCAUUGAGGAUGAAAUUUCGGGCCAGCGGUUGCCUGCGUUUCGCGAUCUUCAGUAGUUUCGUUCUUACAAAGUGAAUUGAACGAGACGGAGAGACUCGAAGAUCAAUUUUGUCUCCCAAAGGCUUCGGGGAGUAAGCUACCGAAGAUAGAGAAGCAUCGGCAAGUGAAAAAUGGCAAAUUCGUCGAUUUUAAUGAUCACUCAUUGAUCGGACGAGCUUCGCAUCGAUCGAAGAAAGUAAAAGCAAACUUUUGUCUCGAAAUCCGUUCGGAAACUAAAAUUUCCAAGAAAGUACGUUCGCUCUGGAGCUCGCUGUGUAUGAUUAUUUCAUAUAGUCGGAAAAGUAUCACGAGAUGAUAGCAGCGACGGAGAGUCCGCCGAAGGAAGGAGGCACCUUUCGGCUUAACGACGACACGGAAUUCCCACCGGUCACCCAGAGGACCGAUUGAGCCGUCGGGCGA
rnacentral:misc_RNA from 1 species